rnacentral:rRNA from 1 species
UAGCACCUGCUUAUAAACAGUCCUUUGGGACAA